GGACGGGGGAGGGGGGGUUCCUGCUGCGGAGCCUGGCGGGCUCGCUGACUACAGGCAAGUCCUAGCAACAACAAGAGCGAUCCUGCACCUUUAUUCCCCAAAGUUUGCAGCCUGGAGAACGAGAGAGCCAACGGCAGGACUGCAGCAGCCUGGGGGGAAAUGCCUCUGAAGAAGCUUCCUCCAAAGGCUGGGCUGCGGCAGUGCCUCUGAAGCCAAAUCUGGCCACAUUCUUGCACGGGAAUUAGGGGGAGUGGAUCGAGCGGAUCUCUUCGGGGAUUUGCCAUUCCUGCUCCCCUUGCGGGCCGUGGAAGGACCGCUUCCUCCCCCCUCGGUCUGGGGCUAUUAGGGCUCAUUCCGGGUUUCUUAUUUUACGCUCUGUUUGAAGCUGCGUUGUGUACUGGCCCCCUGCACAGCUGGGCGCCCGACGCCACGCAGCGCCUUCCGCUAAUCCGCGCGGCCACCCUCUGCUUGCGGGUUCUGCCCGCGCCAGCUGUUUCUGCACCUCUGCACACCGGCAGCCGGCCCCGGCCUCUGGAGAGCCGCGGCAGUUCUACUCAGCACAGCUGUAUGCCCGCCGCAGUUUCCGCACAUCUGGAUUCGCUGGAGUCUUGGGCCUUCCAUGCGCUGCUGGUGCUGCCCUAUAUGUUUUACGUAGGCUUGUUCUUUGUCAAUGUGCUGAUUCUCUACUAUGCCUUCCUGAUGGAGUAUAUCGUCCUCAAUGUAGGGAUCGUGUUCCUGCCUGAAGACAUGGACCAGGCUCUGGUGGAUUUGGGGGUGCUGUCAGACUCUGGCUCGGUGCUCUAUGACACGGACAGCGAGCUGGAUGUGUUUGAUGGGUAUUUGGAAUAACAAGCAAAAAGCGUGCAGAAAGUGACUAGGGAAUAACGCCACACACACCCACCCCCCCGGGGGGCAAGAAUUGGAGGGCUCGUGUUGCUCUUGGUGGCCAUGGCUAAGGGAUCACCAGACCCCUGUGCUGUCCUUGCAUCUGAUUUCACUCAGCGCGGCGUCGUAUGCUCUAAAUGGCCCCACCGGUGCAAGUGUCAGUGGGGGCUGCUGCCUCUCGCUGAGGUGCCCAGGACCUGCUCAUGGGAUGGGAACUGGAGGCUGCGGCAGAGGCCCUGGUGGGGAGCUGGAGACAGACAGAGGGGGCACUGCCGGGCUCCCAAGCGCUGGUUAUAUCAGGAAUUAGAAGGAAUACAGUGCCGGAUACAAAAUAAAGACACGUCAUUUCGUCUGCAUUGUUAUGACCGGGGAGGAACAGCAACUUCAAAGACAGAAUUAGCAAAAAGAGCAUGACUUUAAAAAAAAAAAUAUUGGUGUUAUGCUUUAGCAGCUGAACCAGCAUUAUAUGCUUGCUGGUGUUUUUGUAGUGAGUAGGAUGACUGCAUUUAUAAGAUCUA
rnacentral:lncRNA from 1 species